AGAAGCAGAGAACAAUUUGGCUGCCUUCCGAGCGGACGUGGAUGCAGCUACUCUAGCUCGCAUUGACCUGGAGCGCAGAAUUGAAUCUCUCAACGAGGAGAUCGCGUUCCUUAAGAAAGUGCACGAAGAGGAGAUCCGUGAGUUGCAGGCUCAGCUUCAGGAACAGCAGGUCCAGGUGGAGAUGGACAUGUCUAAGCCAGACCUCACUGCCGCCCUCAGGGACAUCCGGGCUCAGUAUGAGACCAUCGCGGCUAAGAACAUUUCUGAAGCUGAGGAGUGGUACAAGUCGAAGGUGUCAGACCUGACCCAGGCAGCCAACAAGAACAACGACGCCCUGCGCCAGGCCAAGCAGGAGAUGAUGGAAUACCGACACCAGAUCCAGUCCUACACCUGCGAGAUUGACGCCCUCAAGGGCACUAACGAUUCCCUGAUGAGGCAGAUGCGGGAAUUGGAGGACCGAUUUGCCAGUGAGGCCAGUGGCUACCAGGACAACAUUGCGCGCCUGGAGGAGGAAAUCCGGCACCUCAAGGAUGAGAUGGCCCGCCAUCUGCGCGAGUACCAGGACCUGCUCAACGUGAAGAUGGCCCUGGAUGUGGAGAUUGCCACCUACCGGAAGCUGCUGGAGGGAGAGGAGAGCCGGAUCAAUCUCCCCAUCCAGACCUACUCUGCCCUCAACUUCCGAGGUGAGUGUCUGCUGGCAGGCGGA
rnacentral:sRNA from 1 species